rnacentral:rRNA from 1 species
UAUUGAUUGGUGCUUGCAUCAUGAUUUACAUUUGAGUGAGUGGCGAACUGGUGAGUAACACGUGGGAAACCUGCCCAGAAGCGGGGGAUAACACCUGGAAACAGAUGCUAAUACCGCAUAACAACUUGGACCGCAUGGUCCGAGCUUGAAAGAUGGCUUCGGCUAUCACUUUUGGAUGGUCCCGCGGCGUAUUAGCUAGAUGGUGGGGUAACGGCUCACCAUGGCAAUGAUACGUAGCCGACCUGAGAGGGUAAUCGGCCACAUUGGGACUGAGACACGGCCCAAACUCCUACGGGAGGCAGCAGUAGGGAAUCUUCCACAAUGGACGAAAGUCUGAUGGAGCAACGCCGCGUGAGUGAAGAAGGGUUUCGGCUCGUAAAACUCUGUUGUUAAAGAAGAACAUAUCUGAGAGUAACUGUUCAGGUAUUGACGGUAUUUAACCAGAAAGCCACGGCUAACUACGUGCCAGCAGCCGCGGUAAUACGUAGGUGGCAAGCGUUGUCCGGAUUUAUUGGGCGUAAAGCGAGCGCAGGCGGUUUUUUAAGUCUGAUGUGAAAGCCUUCGGCUCAACCGAAGAAGUGCAUCGGAAACUGGGAAACUUGAGUGCAGAAGAGGACAGUGGAACUCCAUGUGUAGCGGUGAAAUGCGUAGAUAUAUGGAAGAACACCAGUGGCGAAGGCGGCUGUCUGGUCUGUAACUGACGCUGAGGCUCGAAAGUAUGGGUAGCAAACAGGAUUAGAUACCCUGGUAGUCCAUACCGUAAACGAUGAAUGCUAAGUGUUGGAGGGUUUCCGCCCUUCAGUGCUGCAGCUAACGCAUUAAGCAUUCCGCCUGGGGAGUACGGCCGCAAGGCUGAAACUCAAAGGAAUUGACGGGGGCCCGCACAAGCGGUGGAGCAUGUGGUUUAAUUCGAAGCUACGCGAAGAACCUUACCAGGUCUUGACAUACUAUGCAAAUCUAAGAGAUUAGACGUUCCCUUCGGGGACAUGGAUACAGGUGGUGCAUGGUUGUCGUCAGCUCGUGUCGUGAGAUGUUGGGUUAAGUCCCGCAACGAGCGCAACCCUUAUUAUCAGUUGCCAGCAUUAAGUUGGGCACUCUGGUGAGACUGCCGGUGACAAACCGGAGGAAGGUGGGGAUGACGUCAAAUCAUCAUGCCCCUUAUGACCUGGGCUACACACGUGCUACAAUGGAUGGUACAACGAGUUGCGAACUCGCGAGAGUAAGCUAAUCUCUUAAAGCCAUUCUCAGUUCGGAUUGUAGGCUGCAACUCGCCUACAUGAAGUCGGAAUCGCUAGUAAUCGCGGAUCAGCAUGCCGCGGUGAAUACGUUCCCGGGCCUUGUACACACCGCCCGUCACACCAUGAGAGUUUGUAACACCCAAAGUCGGUGGGGUAACCUUU